GCUGGGCAUCACAGAAGCCCUGACAUUUGCUGGGCUCCUACCCUGUGUCACAUAUUAUAUCAAGAACUUUAGGAGCUAAGAUAUUCUCUCACGAUGGAAGAGGUUAGUCCCAGUCCCGUUUGCCUGUGGACAUCUUGCAUCAUCCUCUGAACAAUCUUUCCCUUCCUUCCUCUUCUUUCCAGUUCUCGUCCCACCCUCUUCCCUCUCUUCUUUUCUUUUUUUUUUUCUCCCCUCAAGCCCAAGACUUUCCUGUCAUGCCAGGCAAUGAUUCAGCCACUUCAGUUCUGGGUGGAUGGAUAGGCAGGGCUUAAAGCAGGCAACCCUCAUGCUGUCAAAGCCAAAAAGUAGAGGAAUUAUAAAAGACAUGAGACUAAUUAUUAAAAGAAUUUCAAUUUUGUCUUUACCAAGACAUGAGUUCCUUAUGUACUGCAUGCUGUCUUCUGCUUUUUAUUUGAAGAAAUGUGGCAUUUGGGAAGCAGCAGAUGUCCCCCCUGUGGAAUCAAUGUGAAAUGAUAUUUUUGUAACAUCAUUAAAAAGUCUAUCAAGGCUGAGGCAGGAGAAUCGCUUGAACCCGGGAGGCAGAGGUUGCAGUGAACCGAGAUUGCACCACUGAACUCCAGCCUGGGCAACAACAGCGAAACUCUGUCUCAAAGAAAAGAAAAAAAAAAAAAGUAUGAACUCUGGAAUCAAGACAGGCCUGAUUUCAACCCUAGCUCCUCUGUGACCCUGAGGCACUGCUAAACUUCCCUGGGCCCCAUCAGGAAACGUGAAUCCCACAAACAGCCAGCAGAGGGACCCACUCCCAGCCUCCAGAAAGUACUCAAUCAACUGGGCCUUUGUGAAGCAGGUUCUGCCUGCCUGGCCAGAGACUAGCUUGUGGAGUUCCAGAUCCCAGCCUUCUUAGCCUGCUUCAGCUCCAGCCCAGAUGAGGCAAAGCUGUAGCAAUUGCCGGCUCUCCUGAGCCCCACACGGCUUGUAUCAUGGCUAGUGAACUUCAGAGAGAUGCAUAAGGGCCAGUGAAGUAUUUUCAGUUCUGAAGCCACAGCCUGUGCCAUGUGGGGGUUUUCACCCUGCACUGAGGUGAUCUAUGUUCAGCCAAUUUCCUCCAAGGAAAACCGUGGAUGGAACUAAAUGAGAUUUCACCCACUUGGUGCAAUUUGGUCAGAGGGUGGAAUGUCCAGCCAUCCAGGUUGACCCGGGGCAGGGCCUCAGUCUCACCUGUCCUGGGAAGGGCGUCCUCAUGAGGUCAAGGCUGGAGAAAAAGCACAUAUCCAGGAACUCUAGCCCUCUGCAAGGCCUCAACAAAUGGUGGCUCUUACUGGUGUUAGUAUCACAUAUGCACAGAUAAUUUUCAGAAUCCAGAAAGGGGAUGAAGUGUACAGAUCAGUAAGUAGCACCUCUCAGAGUCUAGCAAACACAUUGACAUUUAAGCAGUGAGAUGUAUGAAUAUUAAUACAAAAUAUGAUAAAUGAAGAAAAUUCAGUAUUUUAUAAACAGUUUCAUAUCAUCCAUUUUAGGUUUUAAUAGCAAAAGAAUUUAGAGCAGGCUUAUGAAAAAGCCUUUUGCUUGCCAGAGCUUUAUGGAUUAGGGUUUUGUGAAUAACAGAUCAUGGGUCUGUAUUGCCCUAGGCAUCAAUUUCCACACAGAUCAAAAAAGAGGCUUCCCGCCUUACAGAUUCCUGGUACUGAAAUAGCCUUCAAUUUUCAAACCUGUCAGUUUACCCAAGUCAGAACUCUCACUGCCUCCCUAUUGGCCCGGAGCCACUACACAUAUUUGGUUAU
rnacentral:lncRNA from 1 species